UCGCUUCAGAUUGAAUUCUCUAACUGGUUUUGAAACUGAUUCUUUGCAGAUACAAGAAACACAUGGAGAAUCAUAUUCUUGCAACCACAGAUCAAUUCAGGUAUUCUGGCAGGCAAAAAGAAGAAAUUCAAAGCUGGAGUAGAAGAAAGAGCUAAAAAUUAACGGACCACUUACUUUGAAGUUUGAAGCUCAAGUGACAUUGAGGAGAAACUGUGCAAUUAUCCAGCUGUACUGACACCAUUAGGGAGCUUGUUCUGGAUCACAGAUCUGGGAGAUUAAGUUUUACUGCUUGAAGGAUACCCAUAUUCCAAAGAUUUACUUCAGUUUUCUGAAUGUGUUUUCCAGUAAAUAGCCAUUUGGAAAUGGGAACCAACUUUCUCUGGAAAUGGACUGGUCAAGCCCUUCAGUCCACUUGAAAACACUUUCCUAUUUCUGGCCAUUUUCCAUCUGUGCAGUGAAAUGGAGUGCUAGUGCCCGAUGUGUUGGAAACUUCACUGCUUUUCACUUCUGUUUGGCUUUUUACCUUUUGCUGUUCUUUACCCUGAAUAAAAUUCCGACUUGUCCUGAAGUAUUUAUCAGUUAAAUGUGGCAUUGUAAUCAAUUUUAUGAGUUUUUAAGCCAAAGUGAAUAUCAAAUUGCAGCUGAGGGCACUCAGCACCGUACAGGGUGGGGCCCACAGUGAAAGCUGACAUUUGAGAAAUAAAUGUUGUAUAAUAGCUGUAAAGAUUUGUGAG
rnacentral:lncRNA from 1 species